rnacentral:lncRNA from 1 species
AGUCCCGGCUAGGGACACAGCUCUUAGACUUUGAGCUAGACAACCAGGAGGACAGGAGGACCUAGUAUCCUGCCUCCAUCAGCCCAUCAUUUAUGCAAAUGCUACUUAGUUGCCGUCUAGAUGCAGGAUGCUGUCUGCCCUGUUAAAUGCUGUGUGAACCCAGAUGGAAGCUGAGCAGACAUCACACUCGUGAGCAGCUCCCCUUCCUGUGAGCAUCUCCCCUUCCUACAGGUUUCAGGCUGGCCUUGAACUUACAGGGAUUCACCUGCCUCUGCCUCCCAGAUGCUGAGAUUAAAGGCAUGUGCCAUCACCACCUGAACAACAGCAGCUUUCUAAGGAACCAGUAAGGCACUACAGACUUUUCAUAUAACAUCACCUUCAUUCUCUCACAACUAAUUCUACAAAACAGAUGUUAUACGACCUCGUUCGCUGAAGUCAAAGAUGCAGAGGGGCCAAGGUGUGGGCUCCGGACCUCACACCAGUGUGGCAGAUUCAACAAGCCCAGAAUAAGCCUCUUCCUUUGCUCACAAUAAGAUUAAGCCAACUGCCUCUUCAUUCCUCAGUCACACUCCUCCUCUGACCCUGCUCCAGGAGGCUCAUCUUGUCAGACUUCACACUGAAUGAGCGCUGAGGAUGCUGUAGAGUAUGAGCUGUGUGCAGGUUUCAAAAGCAAUUUGUGCCCCUGAAACAAGCCAACCAGCAGAGAAGGAACAAAAGAAACAUGGUGUCUUCUACCUCCAGCCUUGAAGCUUCCAGACCUCCCUACACGAACCCCCCCCCCACACCCACUCCCCGAAAUGAUGUCCCAGUGAAGAGCCAGGCUCUUAUCCUUCCAUCCAUGCCUCUCAGGCGUCUGCUUCAUUUAGCAUGUAUGUGCAUUUUACCAGGUUAAUGCAACACAGACUAUUUCCUAGUAGCUGUGAAGCCCAGUGUAGCCUCUGCUGCCGGACACAUGGUUUGUCUCCAGUCUUUCCCUUCCCAGCAAAGCAGCCUUGACUCAUCUCCUUUCUCUAUGACAGAGCCCUUUAGAAUGUACUCACUGGGCCAACGAUGCAGUUUCAAUUUGGGUUUUUAAUGGAAGUGGGUGGCUAGGUAAGUGGGUUGAAUGACUGACUGAUUCUGAAUAGCUCUGAAUUUAUUGAGCUGCUUCCAGGAAGGUCCAGGUGACCUGGGUAGCAGAAAGGACACCCAUUCCUGUUUGAUGGUGUUUUUUUUCUAUCUAUCAUCCUUCCUGUCUUUCCUUCUUUAUUUCUUUCUGGGUGAGACAGGGUCUUAUAAUACAGUUUCAGCCAGCCUGGAACUCAUUAUGUAAACCAGGCUGGUCUCCAGCUCAUGGAGAUGAGCCUGCCUUUGCUUCCCAUGUACUGAAAUUAAAGCCCAGCUUGUUUUUUUCUCUUUACCACACUGGGGAUUCAACCCAAGGCUAGUAAGCACCCUGGCACUGAGUAUAUUCUGGACCUCUUCUUAUUUUAAUGUUGAUGUAGGGUCCUGCUAAGUUUCCCAGACUGACCUUCAACUCACUAUGCAAGUCCAGGCAGGCCUUGAACUCACGAUCCUCCUGGUUCAGCUUCCUGAGCUGAUGAGUGGCAGGCACCAUUAGUCUCAUUCGGAAGGAUGUGCUUCAUCCUUGGUGAAAGCGCUCAUCUCUUGUCUUGGCUGGCUAGAAUUUCCAGGGUGAAGAAAGGAGGAUUAGAAAAGUUCAAGGUCACCCUCCCCUACAUAGAGAGUUCAAGGCCAGGCUGGGCCACAUGAGAAAAACCAAAAGAACAGAUGGUGUUAGCAGGAGGUAGGGAAGGAGUAGGGAGGUCCAGCCCUGGGUGGGGCAGAGCCCCUGCUAAAGACAAGGGACAUUCCUUAGUGUCAACUUUCCCUUAGGAUGGAGAGGAGGGGUUGCUAGCUCGUCACACCCCACAGCCCUGGAGGACAGGAGCUUACUGUUGAGUUAGUGGGGCAGAGUCGGGGAGAGGCUGUCAUUUCGGCAGCCCUGGUACAUGGAGCCACUAGCAGGCUUCUUCGUCUCAUGUCUUCAUCCGCACCACCUCCUAGCAGCCUGCCCUCCCCAACUUGUCCACUUAAAGCCUGGGCCAGUGAGAUGACUCUGCAGAUAAAGGUAUUGUCACCCAGCCUGAGGACCUGAGUUCAAUUUCUGGGUUCCAUAUGAUGGAAGGAGAGAACUGAGUCCCUUAACUUGAUCUCUAACCUGCACAUGUGGAUUGUGAAUGGGCUUAUGUGCCCACACACCCUCUCUCUCACACAAUAAACAUAAGUAAUAAAUGUAUACAUGCAUAUACACAUACAUAAUACACACAUACAUACAUGCUUGAAUGCAUACAUACGUUCGUAUGUAUGUCCUUGCCACUCUCUUGGAACCUGACUCCUACAGAAUGUAACCUUGAUUUGUGCUCCAGGCUCACUUGACACCUGGCUUCUGUGGCUUGUUCGAGUCCUCUGUCUCCCAGACAAUGAGCUAGGAUUCUGGUCAUUCAGGUUCAGCCUGGGUGCAGAGAGUUUUGAGUGGGCCUGUCCACUGGAGACCACUCCUCUCGUCACCCAUGAAGCAUCUAAAGUUAAGUAUGAUGGUGCAGACCUGGAAUCCCAGAAUUCAGGAGGUGGGGGCAGGGAUUUCUAAACUCAGAAGUCAGCCUGAGCUAUCUAGAGAGAUGCUGUUUCAAAAAUUUAAAACAGCCGGGUGUGGUGGCACACGCCUUUAAUCCCAGCACUCGGGAGGCAGAGGUAGGCGGAUUUCUGAGUUCGAGGCCAGCCUGGUCUACAAAGUGAGUUCCAGGACAGCCAGGGAUAUACAGAGAAACCCUGUCUCGAAAAACCAAAAAUAAAAAAUAAAUAAAACAAAACCGAA